GUAUUCCUUGUCAAUCAGUGGGCUAUUGUAAAUACACCAGUUUUUUUCUUUUUUUCCCUUUUACCAUUUCUUCCUCAGUGCCACACAAACUGAUUUUGAGCUAUCAUGGAUUCGUGCCAGUGUGGAAAGGGAUCUUUUUUAAUGGGGAAAAUCUUUCUGAGAUUGGAAGAACAGUCCAAACCUUUUGCUUUGAUCCCAAGGUUCGACCAUCCACGUCAGCUUCACAGUGACUGACAGAACAAAUCAAUGGUGGAGCAUGUCCAGUGGGUGGUGAGGAAGAACUCUGGCUGCCUGAAUAAUUUUGGUGGAGAAUUGUCAGAAAAUCAUUGAACCAGAUUUAUUAAAUAUCUGAAAAAUAGUGACAGGCAUUGUGUGGUUUCUAAGGUUCCAUCACAGAAUGGCAGGGAAGUCGAUUUGCUUAUAAACUGUAGACA